AUCAGGCUCUGGCUCUGCAUGAUGCUCCGGUCGCUGGGCUGGGCGUAGAGGAUGACCAUCUCUUCCUCGUUCUUCAUCAGGUGCAGUGUGCAGAACAAGGAGCCAAAUAGCUGGAGCAGACACAGACAAAACUGGGGCUUGUUCUGCACAAACAGAGGAUCUAAAAUUUCUUCAUGAGUCCAAAACUAUGGAGGAGAGUCAGUGCUGAGCGUGGGGCAAUUCUGCUCCAACUCGAUGCUGCAGAGAUGCCCCUCUCAAACUGGACAUCAGCAGCCUGUGUGCAGUCAUGGAGCGACUUCAAGUCUUGCAGAUGAGAAUAUUUGGAUCCUGAAGAGAAGCAUGGUUUAAAAGUUUCCACUGGUUUGCAGAUGACCUUGUUAUAACACCCUCUUGUUCUCAGUGUUUAUACAUUGCACUGGGGUGAAGAAGGGUUGCAAUGCUAGGGACAGCUCGAGCCCUGUGAGCUGGCUGGGAAUGGAGGCACAGCCAGGAUCUGGCCACUGAGAGGGCCAGGAAUGUUACCGUAUCCGCAGUUUGCAAUAGCUGCUGGGUUGUUUGGUCAGUUUGUAGAUUUUUCUGGGUAAUCCUAUUUUUGGAUGCAUUUUGGUGUAUGGAUGAAGUCCCUGAUAUCCCUGCCCAGGAGGAACUGUUCUUGCUGUGAUGCCCAUGGGAAACCAUCACUCCCAAUGAUGUGCAGCAGCAUCCUGCAAGACGACCAUGAUGCCACAUGGACAUCCCACCCAUGUGCAUAGGAAGAGAUCUGCAACCAGAGUGACAACGAGGAGGACCAAAGGUUGUUGGGGAGAGAGGGCUGACGCUGUACCAUGGGGAAGAGUUACACACUAGUGCCGUGCUCAGAGGCUUCAUCAGCGAAAUAACUGAGGUUUGCUGCUGUCCCAGUGUGAACUCAAGCAGUGUCCAGCUCUCCAUGAGUCACCUCCAGUGCCGAGCUCCUCCAGCCCUCCUGGAGCACCUCCUGCUCUUGUCCUUCUCUGUCCCCAUUCCCAUCUCCAUCCCAUCCCUGUCC